CCUACGGGUGGCAGCAGUGAGGAAUAUUGGUCAAUGGACGAGAGUCUGAACGAGCCAAGUAGCGUGAAGGAUGACUGCCCUAUGGGUUGUAAACUUCUUUUAUAUGGGAAUAAAACGUUCCACGUGUGGGAUUUUGUAUGUACCAUAUGAAUAAGGAUCGGCUAACUCCGUGCCAGCAGCCGCGGUAAUACGGAGGAUCCGAGCGUUAUCCGGAUUUAUUGGGUUUAAAGGGAGCGUAGGUGGAUUGUUAAGUCAGUUGUGAAAGUUUGCGGCUCAACCGUAGAAUUGCAGUUGAAACUGGCAGUCUUGAGUACAGUAGAGGUGGGCGGAAUUCGUGGUGUAGCGGUGAAAUGCUUAGAUAUCACGAAGAACUCCGAUUGCGAAGGCAGUUCACUGGACUGCAACUGACACUGAGGCUCGAAAGUGUGGGUAUCAAACAGGAUUAGAUACCCUUGUAGUC
rnacentral:rRNA from 1 species